rnacentral:rRNA from 1 species
AUUGAACGCUGGCGGCAGGCUUAACACAUGCAAGUCGAGCGGAGCGAGGGUGCUUGCACCUUAGCUUAGCGGCGGACGGGUGAGUAAUGCUUAGGAAUCUGCCUAUUAGUGGGGGACAACAUUCCGAAAGGAAUGCUAAUACCGCAUACGCCCUACGGGGGAAAGCAGGGGAUCUUCAGACCUUGCGCUAAUAGAUGAGCCUAAGUCGGAUUAGCUAGUUGGUGGGGUAAAGGCCUACCAAGGCGACGAUCUGUAGCGGGUCUGAGAGGAUGAUCCGCCACACUGGGACUGAGACACGGCCCAGACUCCUACGGGAGGCAGCAGUGGGGAAUAUUGGACAAUGGGCGGAAGCCUGAUCCAGCCAUGCCGCGUGUGUGAAGAAGGCCUUUUGGUUGUAAAGCACUUUAAGCGAGGAGGAGGCUACUUAGAUUAAUACUCUGGGAUAGUGGACGUUACUCGCAGAAUAAGCACCGGCUAACUCUGUGCCAGCCGCCGCGGUAAAAC